ACUUAAGUAUUUUAAUAUAAAAUAUUGAUUUGUGGAGUCAAUGAUAUGGAUAAUUCAUCUUAGGUC
rnacentral:tRNA from 1 species